rnacentral:lncRNA from 1 species
CUUUACAUUUUGACAUUUUAAAAGCCCACGUCUAGGUUUUCAAGUGAGCUCUUUCCCCACUGGAAUUAGAGAUUUAGUUAUCAACGCUGAAGGACAAUUAUAUGUAGAGAUGGUCAGUUGGAUCAGUUUACUCAAGUUCUGAGUGACUGUUUUCCCAUGUUUCAAAAAUUUAUUCCACCAAGCUAACCAACAUAAGCUAUGCAAGCAAAUUAAACUUGCUACCCAAGGGAUGACAUAUAAACUGGAGAGACUGCCUAAUUCAUACACCGUUUAAAACAGAACCACUGCUGAUAGCUGUAAUUAGUUCCAUAGCAACCCUUCCUCCUGCUGCUGCAAGACUGAGGCUGCUAGUCCAACUCCUAUAACAGGUAUGUACCAAUUAGUAAAGCCUGAACCUAGUCCAGUGAUAUUGUAAUGAA